GAUGAACGCUAGCUACAGGCUUAACACAUGCAAGUCGCGGGGCAGCAUGGGGGUUGCUUGCAAUCCCCGAUGGCGACCGGCGCACGGGUGAGUAACGCGUAUCCAACCUGCCCUUCACCACGGGAUAACCCGGCGAAAGUCGGACUAAUACCGUAUGUUGUCCAUUGACGGCAUCCGAUUUGGACGAAAGGUUUGGCGGUGAAGGAUGGGGAUGCGUCCGAUUAGCUGGAUGGCGGGGUGACGGCCCACCGUGGCGACGAUCGGUAGGGGUUCUGAGAGGAAGGUCCCCCACACUGGAACUGAGACACGGUCCAGACUCCUACGGGAGGCAGCAGUGAGGAAUAUUGGUCAAUGGGCGUAAGCCUGAACCAGCCAAGUAGCGUGCAGGAUGACGGCCCUAUGGGUUGUAAACUGCUUUUAUGCGGGGAUAAAGUGGCCCACGUGUGGGUUUUUGCAGGUACCGCAUGAAUAAGGACCGGCUAAUUCCGUG
rnacentral:rRNA from 1 species